rnacentral:rRNA from 1 species
UUAUCGGUAAAGGAGCGGCCCGCGUUAGAUAGUAGUUGGUGGGGUAAUGGCCUACCAAGUCUACGAUCUAUAGCUGGUUUGAGAGGUGAUCAGCAACACUGGGACUGAGACACGGCCCAGACUCCUACGGGAGGCAGCAGUGGGGAAUCUUAGACAAUGGGCGCAAGCCUGAUCUAGCCAUGCCGCGUGAGUGACGAAGGCCUUAGGGUCGUAAAGCUCUUUCGCCAGGGAUGAUAAUGACAGUACCUGGUAAAGAAACCCCGGCUAACUCCGUGCCAGCAGCCGCGGUAAUACGGAGGGGGUUAGCGUUGUUCGGAAUUACUGGGCGUAAAGCGCACGUAGGCGGACUGGAAAGUUGGGGGUGAAAUCCCGGGGCUCAACCUCGGAACUGCCUCCAAAACUACUAGUCUAGAGUUCGAGAGAGGUGAGUGGAAUUCCGAGUGUAGAGGUGAAAUUCGUAGAUAUUCGGAGGAACACCAGUGGCGAAGGCGGCUCACUGGCUCGAUACUGACGCUGAGGUGCGAAAGUGUGGGGAGCAAACAGGAUUAGAUACCCUGGUAGUCCACACCGUAAACGAUGAAUGCCAGUC